CCUACGGGAGGCAGCAGUAGGGAAUCUUCCACAAUGGGCGAAAGCCUGAUGCAGCAACGCCGCGUGAGGGAAGAAGGGUUUCGGCUCGUAAAGCUCUGUUAGUAGUGAAGAAAGAUAGAGGUAGUAACUGGCCUUUAUUUGACGGUAAUUACUUAGAAAGUCACGGCUAACUCCGUGCCAGCAGCCGCGGUAAUACGUAGGUUGCAAGCGUUGUCCGGAUUUAUUUGGCGAAAAGCGAGUGCAGGCGGUUUAAUAAGUCUGAUGUGAAAGCCUGCGGCUCAACCGGAGAAUUGCAUCAGAAACUGGUGAACUUGAGUGCAGAAGAGGAGAGUGGAAUUCCAUGUGUAGCGGUGGAAUGCGUAGAUAUAUGGAAGAACACCAGUGGCGAAGGCGGCUAUCUGGUCUGCAACUGACGCUGAGGCUCGAAAGCAUGGGUAGCGAACAGGAUUAGAUACCCCUGUAGUC
rnacentral:rRNA from 1 species